rnacentral:rRNA from 1 species
UACGUAGGGGGCAAGCGUUGUCCGGAAUCAUUGGGCGUAAAGAGCGUGUAGGCGGCCAGAAAAGUCCGCUGUGAAAACUCGAGGCUCAACUUCGAGCUGUCGGUGGAAACUUUCUGGCUAGAGUCCGGAAGAGGAGAAUGGAAUUCCUGGUGUAGCGGUGAAAUGCGCAGAUAUCAGGAAGAACACCCGUGGCGCAAGGCGGUUCUCUGGGACGGUACUGACGCUGGAGACGCGAAAGCGUGGGGAGCGAACAGG